CCACAGGAUUUGCUGUUGAGUCGUUUGAUCAGACGUACAUUGUGGUGACUUGGCAGGCCCCAGUGGACCAGACCACAGACUACUACACAUUGGUGAGGACUCUAGCCUCUAGGCCGAGUGUACAGGACACCAUUCAGGUCCCUGCCAACGGAGAACUAAGGUCAAACUUCAGUGGGCUUCAUCCAGGGAAGAGGUAUGCCUUCAGCAUCACUGCACAAGUGGGCAGUGUCGCAAGUGUGGCCGUUGAUAUCACAGCAAGAUGUUUACCUCCAAGUCCAGAGGAGGUCAGUGUGGUGGUGAGUGGUCCUAGUAGCAUAACGGUGACCUGGGAAGUGGGAACCCAAGGCAACACUUUUUGGACAGCCACGACGGCUGAGAUACAUCCG